GACGAACGCUGGCGGCGUGCUUAACACAUGCAAGUCGAGCGGUAAGGCCCUUUCGGGGUACACGAGCGGCGAACGGGUGAGUAACACGUGGGUGACCUGCCCUCAGCUCUGGGAUAAGCCCGGGAAACUGGGUCUAAUACUGGAUAUGACUCCACGGUGCAUGUCGUGGGGUGGAAAGCCUUGUGCGGCUGAGGAUGGGCCCGCGGCCUAUCAGCUUGUUGGUGGGGUGANGGCCUACCAAGGCGACGACGGGUAGCCGGCCUGAGAGGGCGACCGGCCACACUGGGACUGAGACACGGCCCAGACUCCUACGGGAGGCAGCAGUGGGGAAUCUUGCGCAAUGGGCGAAAGCCUGACGCAGCGACGCCGCGUGAGGGAUGACGGCCUGG
rnacentral:rRNA from 1 species